rnacentral:rRNA from 1 species
CUCGUUGCGGGACUUUAACCCAACAUCUCACGACACAAGCGGCGGAGCAUGUUGCUUAAUUCGAGGCAACGCGAAGAACCUUACCUGGGUUUGACAUUCUGGGAAAAGCCGUAGAGAUACGGUGUCCGAAAGGGUCCAGAACAGGUGGUGCAUGGCUGUCGUCAGCUCGUGUCGUGAGAUGUUGGGUUAAGUCCCGCAACGAGCGCAACCCUUGUCCUAUGUUGCCAGCACGUAAUGGUGGGGACUCGUAGGAGACUGCCGGGGUCAACUCGGAGGAAGGUGGGGACGACGUCAAGUCAUCAUGCCCCUUAUGUCCAGGGCUGCAAACAUGCUACAAUGGCCGGUACAAAGGGCUGCUAUACCGCGAGGUUGAGCGAAUCCCAAAAAGCCGGUCUCAGUUCGGAUUGGAGUCUGCAACUCGACUCCAUGAAGUCGGAGUCGCUAGUAAUCCC